rnacentral:rRNA from 1 species
GUGUGACUGCGUACCUUUUGUAUAAUGGGUCAGCGACUUAUAUUCUGUAGCAAGGUUAACCGUAUAGGGGAGCCGCAGGGAAACCGAGUCUUAACUGGGCGUUAAGUUGCAGGGUAUAGACCCGAAACCCGGUGAUCUAGCCAUGGGCAGGUUGAAGGUUGGGUAACACUAACUGGAGGACCGAACCGACUAAUGUUGAAAAAUUAGCGGAUGACUUGUGGCUGGGGGUGAAAGGCCAAUCAAACCGGGAGAUAGCUGGUUCUCCCCGAAAGCUAUUUAGGUAGCGCCUCGUGA